UCUGCGAUUUCCGAAUGGGGAAACCCAACUGCAUAAGCAGUUACUGUUAACUGAAUACAUAGGUUAACAGAGCAAACCGGGGGAACUGAAACAUCUAAGUACCCCGAGGAGAAGAAAUCAACCGAGAUUCCGGUAGUAGCGGCGAGCGAACCUGGAUUAGCCCUUAAGCACUCGGUGAAGUAGGUGAACAAGCUGGAAAGCUUGGCGAUACAGGGUGAUAGCCCCGUAACCGACGCUUCAUCGAGCGUGAAAUCGAGUAGGGCGGGACACGUGAUAUCCUGUCUGAAUAUGGGGGGACCAUCCUCCAAGGCUAAAUACUCCUGACUGACCGAUAGUGAACCAGUACCGUGAGGGAAAGGCGAAAAGAACCCCUGUGAGGGGAGUGAAAUAGAACCUGAAACCGUGUACGUACAAGCAGUAGGAGCACCUUCGUGGUGUGACUGCGUACCUUUUGUAUAAUGGGUCAGCGACUUAUAUUCAGUGGCAAGGUUAACCGUAUAGGGGAGCCGUAGCGAAAGCGAGUCUUAACUGGGCGCUCAGUCUCUGGAUAUAGACCCGAAACCGGGUGAUCUAGCCAUGGGCAGGUUGAAGGUUGAGUAACAUCAACUGGAGGACCGAACCGACUAAUGUUGAAAAAUUAGCGGAUGACUUGUGGCUAGGGGUGAAAGGCCAAUCAAACUCGGAGAUAGCUGGUUCUCCCCGAAAGCUAUUUAGGUAGCGCCUCGGACGAAUACUACUGGGGGUAGAGCACUGUUAAGGCUAGGGGGUCAUCCCGACUUACCAACCCUUUGCAAACUCCGAAUACCAGUAAGUACUAUCCGGGAGACACACGGCGGGUGCUAACGUCCGUCGUGGAGAGGGAAACAACCCAGACCGCCAGCUAAGGUCCCAAAGUAUUGCUAAGUGGGAAACGAUGUGGGAAGGCUCAGACAGCUAGGAUGUUGGCUUAGAAGCAGCCAUCAUUUAAAGAAAGCGUAAUAGCUCACUAGUCGAGUCGGCCUGCGCGGAAGAUGUAACGGGGCUAAGCAAUACACCGAAGCUGCGGCAAUAUCUUUUAGAUAUUGGGUAGGGGAGCG
rnacentral:rRNA from 1 species